UUGACAAAUGUUAAAAAAUACUCGAAUUAUUUGGUGGUAACAUUUUUGUUGAUUAGUUCGUCCUUCAUUGGUACAAAAUUACGAUAAUUCGAUUGAAACCAAAUCAAUUUGUUCAAUUUUUUGACAUGAAUAUUGCCAUUAUCGAUAGUCAGCAAUCGCUUGGAGACAAUAUUUUAGAUGAAUCUUUUAGGAAUCCAACUCACAUGCUUUAUAUCAGCAUUUUUCCGCAGUUCUAAUGGUCAUGCUAUUCGGAGGAAGAACGAAUCCCAACUAAACAAAAUUCAUAAAAUCGGACCAGAAGUUCGUGAUUUAUUAUAAAUGCUGUAACAAACAUGAAUUUCGAAUGAAAUAUUAAAAAAAUUGGCGAUGAAUAGCAAACUGGCUGACGUUUAAACAAAAACUAAGGAGCUAAAAAAAUCCAGUUACAAGAACAAUAUAGUUGUUUGCAUAAUCCCACUUUGGCCAUCUCAUCAGUAUCAAAACCUUUGAAAAGUUCAGAACUACUAAAAAGUAUCAUCGGUUUUACAAUGGACACAAUUUUUGCAGUUUUCCACUACACAGGACAGAUAUUGUUGUUAUGAUUGGUUAAAAAUAUGAACAAGGGUCGUAAAAAAAAUUUCUUAAAAAUGUCUCUACCAAAAAAUACAAUUAAAAAAACAUG